rnacentral:rRNA from 1 species
CGGGUUAAGUCACUUAAGCGAGCGCAACCCCUACCGUUAGUUGCCAGCGGAUAAUACCGGGGACUCUAACGGAACUGCCUGCGUAAGCAGUGAGGAAGGUGGGGAUGUCGUCAAGUCAUCAUGGCCCUUACGUCCUGGGCUACACGCGUGCUACAAUGGUGAGGAACAACGGGAAGCUACCGCGUGAGCGGAUGCAGAUCUCUAAAACUCACCUCAGUUCGGAUCGAAGUCUGCAACCCGACUUCGUGAAGCUGGAAUCGCUAGUAAUCGCGCAUCAGCCAUGGCGCGGUGAAUACGUUCCCGGGCCUUGUACACACCGCCCGUCAAGCCAUGGAAGCUGAAGGUGCCUGAAGUCGGUGACCGAAAGGAGCUGCCUAGGGCAAAUUUGGUGACUGGGGCUAAGUCGUAACAAGGUAACCGUAA